AUUAGCUUGCUUUUGAAGAUCAGCGGCGGACGGGUGAGUAACACGUGGGCAACCUGCCUGUAAGACUGGGAUAACUUCGGGAAACCGGAGCUAAUACCGGAUAAUCCUUUCCCUCUCAUGAGGGAAAGCUGAAAGACGGUUUCGGCUGUCACUUACAGAUGGGCCCGCGGCGCAUUAGCUAGUUGGUGAGGUAACGGCUCACCAAGGCGACGAUGCGUAGCCGACCUGAGAGGGUGAUCGGCCACACUGGGACUGAGACACGGCCCAGACUCCUACGGGAGGCAGCAGUAGGGAAUCUUCCGCAAUGGACGAAAGUCUGACGGAGCAACGCCGCGUGAGCGAUGAAGGCCUUCGGGUCGUAAAGCUCUGUUGUCAGGGAAGAACAAGUACCGGAGUAACUGCCGGUACCUUGACGGUACCUGACCAGAAAGCCACGGCUAACUACGUGCCAGCAGCCGCGGUAAUACGUAGGUGGCAAGCGUUGUCCGGAAUUAUUGGGCGUAAAGCGCGCGCAGGCGGUUCCUUAAGUCUGAUGUGAAAGCCCCCGGCUCAACCGGGGAGGGUCAUUGGAAACUGGGGAACUUGAGUGCAGAAGAGGAGAGCGGAAUUCCACGUGUAGCGGUGAAAUGCGUAGAGAUGUGGAGGAACACCAGUGGCGAAGGCGGCUCUCUGGUCUGUAACUGACGCUGAGGCGCGAAAGCGUGGGGAGCGAACAGGAUUAGAUACCCUGGUAGUCCACGCCGUAAACGAUGAGUGCUAAGUGUUAGAGGGUUUCCGCCCUUUAGUGCUGCAGCAAACGCAUUAAGCACUCCGCCUGGGGAGUACGGCCGCAAGGCUGAAACUCAAAGGAAUUGACGGGGGCCCGCACAAGCGGUGGAGCAUGUGGUUUAAUUCGAAGCAACGCGAAGAACCUUACCAGGUCUUGACAUCCUCUGACAACCCUAGAGAUAGGGCGUUCCCCUUCGGGGGACAGAGUGACAGGUGGUGCAUGGUUGUCGUCAGCUCGUGUCGUGAGAUGUUGGGUUAAGUCCCGCAACGAGCGCAACCCUUGAUCUUAGUUGCCAGCAUUCAGUUGGGCACUCUAAGGUGACUGCCGGUGACAACCCGGAGGAAGGUGGGGAUGACGUCAAUCAUCAUGCCCCUUAUGAC
rnacentral:rRNA from 2 species